UACGAAGGGGGCUAGCGUUGCUCGGAAUUACUGGACGUAAAGGGAGCGUAGGCGGAUAGUUUAGUCAGAGGUGAAAGCCCAGGGCUCAACCUUGGAAUUGCCUUUGAUACUGGCUAUCUUGAGUACGGAAGAGGUAUGUGGAACUCCGAGUGUAGAGGUGAAAUUCGUAGAUAUUCGGAAGAACACCAGUGGCGAAGGCGACAUACUGGUCCGUUACUGACGCUGAGGCUCGAAAGCGUGGGGAGCAAACAGG
rnacentral:rRNA from 1 species